UACGGGGGGGAGCAAGCGUUGUUCGGAUUUACUGGGCGUAAAGGGCGCGUAGGCGGUCGUGACAAGUCACUUGUGAAAUCUCCGGGCUUAACUCGGAACGGUCAAGUGAUACUGUCGGACUAGAGUACAGAAGGGGCAACUGGAAUUCUCGGUGUAGCGGUGAAAUGCGUAGAGAUCCGGAGGAACACCAGCGGCGAAGGCGGCAUCCUGGACUGGUCCUGACACUCAGGAGCGAAAGCGUGGGGAGCAAACAGG
rnacentral:rRNA from 1 species